CUCUAAUGUAGCUAUACUAGACUGGUUCUCCCUCCUCCUCCUCUCUAAUGUAUCUAUACUAGACUGGUUCUCCCUCCUCCUCCUCUCUAUUGUAUCUAUCCGAGACUUGUUCUCCCUCCUCCUCCUCUUUAAUGUAGCUCUACUAGACUGGUUCUCCCUCCUCCUCUCUAAUGUAUCUAUACUAGACGGGUUUUCCCUCCUCCUCUCUAAUGUAGCUAUAGUAGACUGGUUCUCCCUCCUCCUCCUCUAUUAUGUAGCUGUACUAGACUGGUUCUCCCUCCUCCUCCUCUCUAAUGUAGCUGUACUAGACUGGUUCUCCCUACUCCUCCUCUCUAAUGUAGCUAUACUAGACUGGUUCUCCCUCCUCCUCCUCUCUAAUGUAGCUAUACUAGACUGGUUCUCCCUCCUCCUCCUCUCUAAUGUAGCUAUACUAGACUGGUUCUCCAUCCUCCUCUCUAAUGUAGCUAUACUAGACUGGUUCUCUCUCCUCCUCUCUAAUAUAGCUGUACAUGACUGGUUCUCCAUCCUCCUCUCUAAUGUAUCUAUACUAGACUGGUUCUCCCUCCUCC
ensembl:lncRNA